CCCUUAGAUGUUCUGGGCCGCACGCGCGCUACACUGAUGAAUGCAACGAGCUUAUAACCUUGGCCGAAAGGUCUGGGUAAUCUCCAAAUUUCGUCGUGAUGGGGAUAGAUUAUUGCACUUAUUAAUCUUCAACGAGGAAUGCCUAGUAAGCGCAAGUCAUCAGCUUGCGUUGAUUACGUCCCUGCCCUUUGUACACACCGCCCGUCGCUCCUACCGAUUGAAUGGUCCGGUGAAGCGUUCGGACCGUGGCCUUUGGACGGUUCGCCGUCUGUUGGCUGCGGGAAGUUCGUUAAACCUUAUCAUUUAGAGGAAGGAGAAGUCGUANCA
rnacentral:rRNA from 1 species